GUUAUUGCGUGUAAACUGGACGUUAAGGCAGUGUGCAAGAGCGCAGCAGUGCGCAUGUGCAUUAAAGUAGCGAGGGAAGCUUCCAGAACAUUUGCGGACUUGCAUAUUGGAAGAAGCAGAGCUUCUCUAAAGAAAGUUUCUGUUUACGUCUUAGAGAAUGGAUGGAAAGCCAGUCCAAGUGGAAGUAUUUGAGGCACUGGAAAGAAAGGUCAACAUCCACCUCCUCCUCAUCGCCGCGGGAUGUAAACAUUCGUCGGACCAGAAUAAAGAGAAGCGGUGAAGCUUGAAAGAAUAACACACAGGGUAGGGAGGUGGAACAGGAAGCCAUCGACGUUUGCCGUCUCCCCAUGCUGUGACCUUCCGUACCACCUGAG